GCCAAAUGGAAGAGCAGUGGUGAUGAAGAGAAACGCCACUUAAGACAGUGGGGCGGGCCAAGUUUCCUUUUGGCUGUUCCACCAGGAAGCUGUGUGACCAUGUGUCACAUGGCUGAGUAGUAACUUCUUUUUACCUUAAUUUUAAAUUUAAUUAUAGGUGCCCAGUUCAUUUUUACUGGGUGCGUGGCGAAGAAAUUAUUCCUCAUGGUCAUCGAAGGGGUCGAAUUGAUGACUUGCGGUACCAGAUAGAUGAUAAACCAAACAACCAGAUUCGAAUAUCCAAGCAACUCGCAGAGUUUGUGCCAUUGGAUUAUUCUGUUCCUAUAGAAAUCCCCACUAUAAAAUGUAAACCAGACAAACUUCCAUUAUUCAAACGGCAGUAUGAAAACCACAUAUUUGUUGGCUCAAAAACUGCAGAUCCUUGCUGUUACGGUCACACCCAGUUUCAUCUGUUACCUGACAAAUUAAGAAGGGAAAGGCUUUUGAGACAAAACUGUGCUGAUCAGAUAGAAGUUGUUUUUAGAGCUAAUGCUAUUGCAAGCCUUUUUGCUUGGACUGGAGCACAAGCUAUGUACCAAGGAUUCUGGAGCGAAGCAGAUGUUACUCGACCUUUUGUCUCCCAGGCUGUGAUCACAGAUGGAAAAUACUUUUCCUUUUUCUGCUACCAGCUAAAUACUUUGGCACUGACUACACAAGCUGAUCAAAAUAACCCUCGUAAAAAUAUAUGUUGGGG
rnacentral:sRNA from 1 species